rnacentral:tRNA from 1 species
CGCGGAGUGGAGCAGUUGGCAGCUCGUCGGGCUCAUAACCCGGAGGUCGUAGGUUCGAGUCCUGCCUCCGCAACCA